rnacentral:rRNA from 1 species
AUACGGAGGGUGCAAGCGUUGUUCGGAAUUACUGGGCGUAAAGCGCGCGUAGGCGGUUUGUUAUGUCAGAUGUGAAAGUCCACGGCUCAACCGUGGAAGUGCAUUUGAAACUGGCAAACUUGAGUACUGGAGGGGGUGGUGGAAUUCCCGGUGUAGAGGUGAAAUUCGUAGAUAUCGGGAGGAAAACCGGUGGCGAAGGCGACCACCUGGCCAGAGACUGACGCUGAGGUGCGAAAGCGUGGGGAGCAAACAGGAUUAGAAACCCUUGUAGUCC